rnacentral:rRNA from 1 species
AUAAUUAAACCACAAAUUAUUCGCCAAAUAACUACGAGUGGAAACUUAAAAUUUAAAAGACUUGACGGUACUUCACAACAACCUAGAGGAGCCUGUCCAAUAACCGAUAAUCCGCGUUUAACCCAACCCCUUCUAGCCAACAGUCUAUAUACCGCCGUCGCCAGCCUACCUUGUGAAAGAAACUAAAGUAAGCAAAAUAAUUCUUCAUUAAUACGACAGGUCGAGGUGUAACUAAUGAAAGGGAAAAGAUGGGCUACAUUUUCUAACAGAAUAAACGAAUGUUACUAUGAAGAUAGUUACUGAAGGAGGAUUUAGUAGUAAGAUAAGAAUAAAACACUUAACUGAAACAUGCAAUGAAGUGCGUACACACCGCCCGUCAUCCC